rnacentral:rRNA from 1 species
AUUGAACGCUAGCGGCAGGCCUAACACAUACAAGUCGAACGAGUGGCGGACGGGUGAGUAAUGUCUGGGAAACUGCCUGAUGGAGGGGGAUAACUACUGGAAACGGUAGCUAAUACCGCAUACUAUCGGAUGUGCCCAGAUGGGAUUAGCUAGUUGGUGGGGUAAAGGCUCACCAAGGCGACGAUCCAUAGCUGGUCUGAGAGGAUGACCAGCCACACUGGAACUGAGACACGGCCCAGACUCCUACGGGAGGCAGCAGUGGGGAAUAUUGGACAAUGGGGGAAACCCUGAUCCAGCCAUGCCGCGUGUAUGAUGAAGGCCUUCGGGUUGUAAAGUACUUUUGGCAGGGAGGCGUUACCCGCAGAAGAAGCACCGGCUAACUCCGUGCCAGCAGCCGCGGUAAUUC